UAUUUUGCCUUGGAAAGUUUAAAGCUUGAUUUAGAUUCAUGAAGUUGAUAUGAUAUAUGUGCCUAUUUCUUUACUGGUAAUAACCAAUUUAAUCAUGGAUCGAAUUGCUUCGUGGUUCCGGUUUGUUACUGUGUAAUGUCCUACUUAACCUGGAUUAUGGCUUGCAUAGUCCAGGUACAAGCUUUGCUGCUGUGAAAUUAUCAAAGGAUCAAGCACCAAAGAAGAAGAAGAGAUUGGAUGACGUGUGCCACGGUAAAGUAGUAGUGGAUGCGAAGGUGGUCAACAAAGGCGAUACUCCAAAUUUGAU
rnacentral:lncRNA from 1 species